UACGGAGGGGGCUAGCGUUGUUCGGAAUCACUGGGCGUAAAGCGCACGUAGGCGGAUUGCUAAGUCAGGGGUGAAAUCCUGGAGCUCAACUCCAGAACUGCCUUUGAUACUGGCAACCUUGAGUCCGGGAGAGGUGAGUGGAACUGCGAGUGUAGAGGUGAAAUUCGUAGAUAUUCGCAAGAACACCAGUGGCGAAGGCGGCUCACUGGCCCGGUACUGACGCUGAGGUGCGAAAGCGUGGGGAGCAAACAGG
rnacentral:rRNA from 1 species